rnacentral:rRNA from 1 species
UACAGAGGGGGCAAGCGUUAUUCGGAAUUAUUGGGCGGAAAGGGCGCGUAGGCGGCUUGGCAAGUGGAUGGUGAAAUCCCUCGGCUUAACCGAGGAACUGCCAUCCAGACUGCUUUGCUUGAGGCCGGGAGAGGUGAGUGGAAUUCCCAGUGUAGCGGUGAAAUGCGUAGAUAUUGGGAGGAACACCAGUGGCGAAGGCGGCUCACUGGACCGGUUCUGACGCUGAUGCGCGAAAGCGUGGGGAGCAAACGGG